rnacentral:rRNA from 1 species
UACGUAGGGUGCGAGCGUUGUCCGGAAUUAUUGGGCGUAAAGGGCUCGUAGGCGGUCCAUCGCGUCGGGUGUGAAAAGCUGGGGCUUAACCCCAGUCCUGCUUUCGAUACGGGUGGACUAGAGGUAGGCAGGGGAGAAUGGAAUUCCUGGUGUAGCGGUGAAAUGCGCAGAUAUCAGGAAGAACACCCGUGGCGAAGGCGGUUCUCUGGGACGGUACUGACGCUGAGACGCGAAAGCGUGGGGAGCGAACAGG